rnacentral:lncRNA from 1 species
GUAAUUUGUAUAAUUGAAAAAUAUAAAACAAAAAUAAAAAUUUAAUGAAAACCACACAAGUACUUAUUAAGAAACAGGAUCUGAAAUGCGUAAUUUUCCUAACUAAUUCAUAACAUCUCGAAAUCUACUAAAGCUUUAAAUAUUAAUCCCGUAGUCCUUAACAUCUUCAGAGACUGCAGGAGCCACAGUUCACACGAAACUAAGAGUAUUUAAACCGCUUAAAAUUCUAAACUUGAUUUGGGCAGGGGCCGCGCGAACGCAGGCCCCCUCUACCACAAAUUAUGACGUAGGCUCGACCACUUGGGCCGACCUUAGACGGGCGCCCCUCCUAGGUGCAAUGGAGGUCGCCAAUCUAGGCCAUGAGCCUUCUUGAUCACCCAUUGACCCCG